rnacentral:rRNA from 1 species
UAGUUGCCAUCAGGUAAUGGGGGGAACUCUAGGGAAANUGCCGUUGUAAGACGCGAGGAAGGAGGGGAUGAUGUCAAGUCAUCUUGGCUUUUAUGCCCUGGACUUACACAGGUGCUACAAGGAGAAGGACAAAGGGUAGCUACNNCGUAACAGGAUGGUAAUCUCAAAACCCUCUCCUCAGUUCAGAUCGCAGUCUGCAACUCGACUGCGUGAAGCUGGAAUCGCUAGUAAUCGUAUAUACAGCAAUGACACGGUGAAUUAGUUUCCGGACCUUGCACCCACCGCCCGUCAAGCCAUGGAAGCCGGGGGUAACUUAAAGUCGGUAACCGCCAGGAGCCGCCUAGGGUAACUGGGUGAUCGUGGAGCUAAGUAUGCAACAUGUGAUAGUCCCGCGCACAGUGGCGCCCGGGAGCAGGGGACGUGGGCCACAAUGCCCCCUAUAGGAGUGUUAUCA